rnacentral:rRNA from 1 species
GACGAACGCUGGCGGCGUGCUUAACACAUGCAAGUCGAACGGUGAAGGGACCGGUUUUUGCUGGUUCUGGAUGAGUGGCGAACGGGUGAGUAACACGUGAGUAACCUGCCCCCUUCUUCUGGAUAACCGCAUGAAAGUGUGGCUAAUACGGGACAUUCUGCGCCUGCUGCAUGGUGGGUGUGGGAAAGAUAUUGUUUCGGUGGGGGAUGGGCUCGCGGCCUAUCAGCUUGUUGGUGGGGUGAUGGCCUACCAAGGCGGUGACGGGUAGCCGGCCUGAGAGGGUGGACGGUCACACUGGGACUGAGACACGGCCCAGACUCCGACGGGAGGCAGCAGUGGGGAAUAUUGCACAAUGGGCGCAAGCCUGAUGCAGCGACGCCGCGUGAGGGAUGGAGGCCUUCGGGUUGUAAACCUCUUUCGCCAGUGAAGCAGGCCUGUCCCUUUUGUGGGUGGGUUGACGGUAGCUGGAUAAGAAGCGCCGGCUAACUACGUG